UGAUAUAUAGCGCAGACAACAUCCCGCAUUUUACAGAGGCAAGGAUAGCAUUGGAUUCACUGUCCUCAGAAAUCAGGGAUUUUGUGAAUUUAUGUUCUCCAGAACUAGGAAAUUUUCUUCAAUCAGCCACUUUCUGAAGAACUAAAGAUCUCGAGAUGAAUCAUGACUGCAAAGCUGAGUUAGU